GUUAGCAGAACACAAUCAGUGAGCUUGAGUAAGAUAACUCCCGUCGAGUUGUUAUUGUGUUUAUGAAUCUCAGAUGAACUUGAUGGCGAGCCCAGCCCAGUGAUUCAGAGGACGGUCGCUUACGCAGUGAGGCCAGCUGCAGUACCUGCUCAGAGGACGUCAGAUUGCUUGACUCAUUCAUUUGACUCCAGAUAAGACACACUCUAUUAACUUACCCGGGUAGUAAUAAACAUUGACACUGAA